rnacentral:rRNA from 1 species
ACACGUGAGCAACCUGCCCCAGGCUUUGGGAUAACCCCGGGAAACCGGGGCUAAUACCGAAUAUGACCUUGCACCGCAUGGUGUUUGGUGGAAAGUUUUUCGGCUUGGGAUGGGCUCGCGGCCUAUCAGCUUGUUGGUGGGGUGAUGGCCUACCAAGGCGACGACGGGUAGCCGGCCUGAGAGGGCGACCGGCCACACUGGGACUGAGACACGGCCCAGACUCCUACGGGAGGCAGCAGUGGGGAAUAUUGCACAAUGGGCGGAAGCCUGAUGCAGCGACGCCGCGUGAGGGAUGACGGCCUUCGGGUUGUAAACCUCUUUCAGCAGGGACGAAGCGUAAGUGACGGUACCUGCAGAAGAAGCGCCGGCCAACUACGUGCCAGCAGCCGCGGUAAGACGUAGGGCGCGAGCGUUGUCCGGAUUUAUUGGGCGUAAAGAGCUCGUAGGCGGCUUGUCGCGUCGACCGUGAAAACCUGGGGCUCAACCCCAGGCCUGCGGUCGAUACGGGCAGGCUAGAGUUCGGUAGGGGAGACUGGAAUUCCUGGUGUAGCGGUGAAAUGCGCAGAUAUCAGGAGGAACACCGGUGGCGAAGGCGGGUCUCUGGGCCGAUACUGACGCUGAGGAGCGAAAGCGUGGGGAGCGAACAGGAUUAGAUACCCUGGUAGUCCACGCUGUAAACGUUGGGC